ensembl:lncRNA
CUUCGACAAUGUGUCGCAAGGAGGCGCUCUUAUUCAAGUUUUUCUUACCUCCUCGGUCGAACUUGCUGGCCGUUCCUCUGUUCUCAAUUGACUUCUGUACCAUCUUGUUUUGGUAUAGAAAAAUCUGACAAAUAUCGUUUAUAAUUUCCUGACAUUUUGCAGUAAGAAGACUGUCAAUGCAGACAAAUUUAAACUGAAAACAACAACUGAACAACUGAAAAAGACAACUGUAAACCCGCGAGCGUCUCACGCGCUGCGAAUGCGGUUGUAAACAUAUGCUACGCAUUCGCAGCGCGUGAGACGUCCGUUGAAUAUUUGACAGUCGAGUCGUGAGUUUUAGUCGUGAGAUGCUACAGAAAAAUAAAGAAAAUGGCAAAAUAUGCACUAUUUGACUUUCCGGAUGAAGGGGCUGUGGACAUAGGCGAAAUAUCAUGGGUGGUAGGCGAAGUAAAUUUAAAAGAUCCUUUUGUAACGUAUAAAGUUAAUUGGCCAAACAAGGGAAGGAUUGUGUCAUGUCCAGACAGAUUAUAUCAGUCAGUGACAACAGAGAGGAGUUAGUUUGCAAGAGGAGGCAUUAUCUUCAUGGUGGAGACAAACUGUCGAGCCCGGAGUAGAAAGGGAAGGGGAAAAGGAAGAAACUGAAGAAUGGUCGAGAAAGGGAAGGGAAAAAGGAAGAAACUGAAGAAUGGUCGAUAUUCUGACGACGACGACGACGACGACGACGACGACGUAGUAUCGCUGGAUCCUCAGUUAAUUCAAUGUGAGAAGAAGAAGAAGAGAAAAAACACAGGUCUUAACGUCUUAAUGGAACUAGAAAAGCAAGGAUCAUGUCAGCUGAACUCAAUUAACGAAACCAGGAAUGAAUGCCAUCACCCAUCUUGUGAGCUGUUGAGGGAGAACAACCACAGGCUGCAGAGGGAAAAUGAUUCUCUCUAGGCAAAAAUAGCAACAUUGAAAUUGCUGCCAGACGCUUUGCAGAAGAUGGAGGAGUUUCUCCGCUCAGCACCAAGACCAACGACAACACCAAUACCAACACCAACACCAAGACCAGAACCAUCACUAUCACCAGCACCAACAGCAGUUCCACCACCAGCAACAGAAGACCCAUCACCAGCUCCAGGUCCAUCAUCAGCAUCAGCAACAGAGGCCCUGGGCCACUCUGUCAUUCCAAAAGGACUUGUGGAGCGCUGCUCCUUCCAAAGCCCCCAGAAGUUCAUAAAUGAUCUCCUACAUGGGAUGUAUACCAGGGAAUAUAUGGCAGGCCAUUCAGUGACUGGCCAGUCAUCCAGCAGCUGCACAGAAGGAAAACCUGGCCUAGCCAAACAGGACCUUGUUGAAAUAACAAAUGCUGCAAAGUUGAAGUUCACCUACGUAACUGAUACGAACAUAAAAGCAUUUAUACGACAAAAGCUGAACAAUGCUGCCAAAUUUCAGAAACAAUAAAUUAUCAACUGUUAAA